GUGNGGGGUAAAGGCCCACCAAGGCGACGAUCAGUAGCCGGCCUGAGAGGGUGGCCGGCCACAUUGGGACUGAGACACGGCCCAAACUCCUACGGAAGGCAGCAG
rnacentral:rRNA from 1 species